GAUCAUGGCUCAGAACGAACGCUGGCGGCAUGCCUAACACAUGCAAGUCGAACGAGACCUUCGGGUCUAGUGGCGCACGGGUGCGUAACGCGUGGGAAUCUGCCCUUAGGUUCGGAAUAACUUCGGGAAACUGAAGCUAAUACCGGAUGAUGACGUAAGUCCAAAGAUUUAUCGCCCAAGGAUGAGCCCGCGUAGGAUUAGCUAGUUGGUGAGGUAAAGGCUCACCAAGGCGACGAUCCUUAGCUGGUCUGAGAGGAUGAUCAGCCACACUGGGACUGAGACACGGCCCAGACUCCUACGGGAGGCAGCAGUGGGGAAUAUUGGACAAUGGGCGAAAGCCUGAUCCAGCAAUGCCGCGUGAGUGAUGAAGGCCUUAGGGUUGUAAAGCUCUUUUACCCGGGAUGAUAAUGACAGUACCGGGAGAAUAAGCUCCGGCUAACUCCGUG
rnacentral:rRNA from 1 species